UACGGAGGGUGCGAGCGUUGUCCGGAAUCACUGGGCGUAAAGGGCGCGUAGGCGGCCUGAUAAGUAGGGGGUGAAAUCCUGCGGCUUAACCGCAGGGCUGCCUUCUAAACUGUCAGGCUAGAGCACAGUAGAGGCAGGUGGAAUUCCCCGGUGUAGCGGUGGAAUGCGUAGAGAUCGGGAAGAACAUCAGUGGCGAAGGCGGCCUGCUGGGCCGUUGCUGACGCUGAGGCGCGACAGCGUGGGGGAGCAAACAGG
rnacentral:rRNA from 1 species